rnacentral:rRNA from 1 species
AGCAUAUCACUCAGUGGAGGMACACUCAGCAACUGCGGUUGCCCCAGUAAUGGCGAAUGAACUGGCAACAAUCAGAGCUCGACCCGAAGUGAAUCCCGUCCUGUGAUGUGUGUGCCCCUCUGUGGGCCAUACAAGCAAUUCGGCUAUUGUGGGCUUCAGCAGUGCUGUGGGUUUGAUGGAGCAGGCAGCAGGCCUCAGGCAACUGGUGUACCCAAGGAAGUGCCCUGGAAAGGCUCACCAGAGAGGGAUACUGUCCCGUACCCAGUGGUCAUCAGUUUGCCUGGGGGAUCCACUGUUUGUCUCCAGGAGUAGAGUGGCUUGGGACUGCAGUUUGAAGUGCCAGGUGUAUCCAUGGCAAAGCAGCAACUACUGGCAUGAGACCGAUAGAGGACAAGUAGAGUGAUUGAAGGAUGCAAAGGACUUUGCAAAGAGGGUUAAAAGUCCCUGAAGCUGUGGCAGGGUACGGCGGAGAGUGGUGCUGUGGCUUUGAGGAACUCACAGAGACUAUGUGGCUAAUACACCAAGCAACCCCAGACCAGCCCAGUGCUGGCCACUGAGCCCAUCCCACCAGGGAUGGAUGCAUUCGCGGCAGCAUCUGGUGGCAAUCAGCCUCUCUGGGCCUGGGGUUCUGAGGCAAUGCUUUGUGGCUUGUAAGGUGUGGGCUCAGCAGAGCCAGCAACAGAGACACUCAGAAAGGGAUAUGUCAGGGGCUGUAAUGGCAACCCAAAAAGGGGCAUGUGACCCCCUGGUUCACCUUCGGGUGGGCCAGCCACUGUGCAUGGUUUGGCCUUCUGGUCUUGAGGCAUCCGGUGGAUACACAGUGUUGGCUGCACCCUUAGAUCCUGUGGGGUGGCCCCUGUGUGCUCCAAUUGCCGGCCUCCCAGAGGCAGCACAGUGAGGACUGGACUUGUGUGGCUUGGUGCAGAGGCAGUGUCCCCCUCUGCCCGUCUUGAAACACGGACCAAGGAKUCUAUGGAGCUUGUGGUGUGUGAUGGUUGCAGACAAACACCCAACAGCAUGGUGAAGGCAAGCCUGCCUCACAAGGUUUUAAGGCCAGCAUGGGAACCGGUCCCGAAGUCCAGUGGACAGGGUUCUGAGUGUGUGCAAGGUCCAUGGGACCCGAAAGGUGGUGAACUAUCCCGUGCCACAGUGAAGCCAUGGGAAACUGUGGUGGAAGCUGGUCGCUGUUCUGACGUGCAAAUUGUGUAGCCUGAGUGCGGCAUAGGGGUGAAAGGCCAAUCGAGCCACCUAGUAGCUGGUUCCCUUUGAAGUUUCCCUCAGGAUAGCUGGGCCCCAAUGAAUACCAAGCUGAUUAUGUCCGGUAAAGCAACGCAUGAGAGGCUCUCUGUGGGGAGGUCAUCCUCCUCAACCUAUCCUCGAACUGUGAAUGGGCAUGCCCCAGAUCCAGCACACUUCUUCAGCCACCAGGAGGCCAACCCAACCAGUGGUACUUCUGCUCUGAGUGUGUUCCCAACCACUGAAGCCAGGCCAAAGGUGCAGCAGCAACCCAUAGUGGCCUGUUCUGAUGUGAGACAGUGUGAAACAGUGGGGCCUGUGUGGACCACCAUUGGUAAGCAGUGCUGGUGAUGCGGGGUGCUCCGAGAGUGGAUUUAAAGAUCCAGAGUACUGGCUCAUACCCAGAUCCCACAAAGGAUGUUGCCCGCUAGGGAUAGCAGGACGGUGGCCAUGAAGGUUGGAACCCGCUAAGGAAUGUGUAACAACUCACCUGCCGAAGUGGGCUGCUUCGAAAAUGGAUGGUGCCCAAGUCAGUGAAGCUGAGAUUGUCUCAUAGUCCACCACCACUGUGUGAGUGGCUUCAAGGGUUUGGCAGAGCAAUGGUGUGUAAAGGGGCAUGGAGGCUGCAGCACCACUCUGGGGCUGUCCCCAUGUGGAGUGCCCUCCGGAGCAGAUCUUGGUUGCAGUAGCGAAUACUCCAUUGAGUGAAGAGCAGUACAAAGUACACCCUGCUGUGUGCGGUUGAGGACUGGAGUGGAGCAGGUUUCCAGACCAAACAGCCGUUGAAUCUGGGUCAACCGUCCGUGAGCCAAGUGGUAAAUUCACAGAACAACCAAAGCUGCCUUGCUUGGGUGAGGGGAGCCUGAGCCAGAGGGAGGAUGUGUCUGCUGCUUGUGUGUGUGGGGGGGGCCAAGUGCCCACACCGCAAAGGGGAUAUCUGACCCACCACCAGGAUGCCCAAGUUGUGGGGACCACAGUCCCAUGGGCUUCAGGGUGUGCUGUGGCCUCACCCCUUUGUCCCACCACCACACUGUGGCCCCUCUGCUGCUCUCUCCCAGAACCUGUGGCAGGAAUGGCAAACAGGCAAGCAUGUGCAACAUUCUGCUGUGAUGGGCUUGGGGCACUCUGAGGUUGCAAAGCCUCUGUCCCCAGUGAGACCAAGCAGGCUGAGGGGCAGUGCACCCCUCGAGGAGUUCUCGUUUCCUCCUGAUGCCAAAGGCACAUGUGGGCUAUGGAUUUGCAUGACAGAUGGUGGCAUAUGCCCUCUGCCCAGCAAGGCAGUGUGAUCCUCCACACUGGCAGAGUGUCUCUUGUGAGAUUAUGUGAAGCUGGUUUGCUGAGCAACACAAAUAUCAUGACCCCAUUGGUGGUCACUGGCUCCAAGGAAUCGCCUGCAGGCCUUGUGCCUCUGGAUCCUAGUCUUCGUACUGAAUCACCGCAGCCGGUCUCCUCGAUCAGAAGUCGCUUGUCUACGGAUGAAAUGCAGCUAAGGGAAGUCGGCAAACUAGCUGUGUACCUUUGGAAGAUACAGUGGCUCCAGAGGCCAAGGCCCUGGGUCCUGUCAUUGGCUUGGGAUCUUGGUUGAAGGCAUACCCACUGGUGAGGUGGUUCUCCAUCAGGCCAGACUGUGGCAGCCCUUGGUCAGCCCAUGGCAUUCUUGGUGGCAGGGGGGCUCCCACACUCCCCAGUGGGUUCAUAGUGGCUGGUGUUCCACUCCACUGGGCUGUGUGCCCCAUCCCAGUGUCUGACAGAGUGGCUCACAUGGAACUGUUGCUGUGCAAGGGAAUCUGACUGUUUAAUUGAAACCCAGCUUUGUGAAGGGACCAGCUGGCUGGUUCCAUGAGGUGACUUCUGCCCAGUGCUCUGAUUGUCAAAGCGGAGAGAUUCAGCCAAGCGCGGGUAAACGGCGGGAGUAACUAUGACUCUCUUAAGGUAGCCAAAUGCCUCGUCAACCAAUUAUUGACGCGCAUGAAUGGAUCAACGAGAUUCCUGCUGUCCCUAGCUGCCGUCUGGUGAACCAACAGCCAAGGGAACGGGCUUGGAUGCGUCAGCGGGGAAAGAAGAGCCUGUUGAGA